rnacentral:rRNA from 1 species
UACGUAGGGGGCAAGCGUUGUCCGGAUUUAUUGGGCGUAAAGAGCGUGUAGGCGGCCAUGCAGGUCAGCUGUGAAACUCGAGGCUCAACCUCGAGACGUCGGUUGAAACCGUAUGGCUAGAGUCCGGAAGAGGAGAGUGGAAUUCCCGGUGUAGCGGUGAAAUGCGCAGAUAUCGGGAAGAACACCUAUGGCGAAGGCAGCUCUCUGGGACGGUACUGACGCUGAGACGCGAAAGCGUGGGGAGCAAACAGG